UUUCAAAAAAUUAAUAUACAGAAUUCUAAUUUUAACAAAUAAGAAAUCUACACCAAGAACUAAAUAGCAGAGUUUAGCGAUAUUCAAGAAUAAAGGGGAAUGGCUAAAAUGCAUUCACAGUCACUAUUUUUUCCUUACAAGCCUCAGAUUUGGACAGGAUACAAAAAUUUGGACAGGAUACAAAAAUUUUUCUCAUCUAUCUUUUGUUAUUAUAGCCUAUAAAUUCAGAGAAGGUGUUUUCUUCCUAUAGCAUAUAUGCAAUAUGCAAUUCCCUGCCUACUGGGUUUGAUGACAUGGGUAUACAGAUGAAUACAUCAGAGAUUCCUUCUUAAUGUGUUUAAGGAAGAUAAGACAUGAACGGUUCUGACUGUGGUGAUCUUGAUUUCUAGAAAGUAAUCUCAAUACUGAUCUUUAAAACUCAAGUUUCUAUCAAAC
rnacentral:lncRNA from 1 species